AUGUUCCCGCCGUCCCUCAGCCCAUCCCCAGACGUCGAUGCGCUCUUCACCGAGCUGAUCAACCUCAGCAAGCUAGAAUACGAGCUCCUGGUGCGCUACGUGCCCGGCGGCAUCGCCCCCGCCCGCAUUGCCUUCAUCGGCCCCGGCCCACUUCCAUUCAGCUCCUUUGUCCUCGCCGCGCGCCACCUGCCCGACACCAUGUUCGACAAUUACGACCUGUGCGGCGCGGCCAACGAUCGUGCCAGCAAGCUGUUCCGCGCCGACACAGACGUGGGCGCCCGCAUGUCCUUCCACACGGCCGAUGUCGCAGACCCCGCCGAUGAGCUCGCCACAUACGACGUCGUGUUCCUGACCGCUGAGGACAAGGCCAAGGUCAUCGCACACCUCGGUGAACACAUGGCGGACGUGGCGGCUUUUGUUGUGCGCAGCGCCCAUGGAGCCCGUGGGUUCCUGUACCCGAUUGUCGACCCCGAGGACAUCGGCCGAGGCGGGUUCUAG
rnacentral:rRNA from 1 species